rnacentral:rRNA from 1 species
UACGAAGGGGGCUAGCGUUGCUCGGAAUCACUGGGCGUAAAGGGUGCGUAGGCGGGUUCUUAAGUCAGGGGUGAAAUCCUGGAGCUCAACUCCAGAACUGCCUUUGAUACUGAAGAUCUUGAGUCCGGGAGAGGUGAGUGGAACUGCGAGUGUAGAGGUGAAAUUCGUAGAUAUUCGCAAGAACACCAGUGGCGAAGGCGGCUCACUGGCCCGGUACUGACGCUGAGGCACGAAAGCGUGGGGGGCAAACAGG